rnacentral:tRNA from 1 species
GAGGCUGUAGCUCAGCUGGAUAGAGUAUCAGAUUGCGGAUCUGAUGGUCGCACGUUCAAAUCGUGUCAGCCUCA